CCCCAGAGCCCUCUUGCUAUACUCACUGCCCUCCUCUGCAGAAGCCAUAGAGAGGAGGGGAGGGAGGGAGGGACCAGGGCCAUCUAGACAAUCAGCAUUGGAUGGGUGCUGGGAGCCUCUUCACAUUUUUGAGCCUCUCUUUAAUCUUAGGUUGAAUUUGACCAGUUCAGCCCCAGAAUCUUCUGGGACUCCUGGCCCAGGUGGGGAAUUUGAGCUUCUCCACCCGAGGAGGAGCUGUGCAGAGCCACUGGGAGCCGGUGAGGAGCAGCCGCUGCAGCCACGGGCAUGUGGUGUCAGGAUGUGCCAAUCGGAAAACCGCCCAUUCACAAUCCGGAACCAAGAAAAUGCCAUUCUCAUCAUUCUGGAAUUCAGAAAAGAAGAAAAUGGUAAAUGAACUUGAAGCCAUUCAAGAAACCAGUCCAGAAAACCAACAAGUGAAAAAGGUAAACUAGCCCAGGGGG
rnacentral:lncRNA from 1 species